rnacentral:rRNA from 1 species
GAUCCUGGCUCAGGAUGAACGUUAGCGACAGGCCUAACACAUGCAAGUCGAGGGGCAGCGGGGAGGUAGCAAUACCUUUGCCGGCGACCGGCGCACGGGUGAGUAACACGUAUGCAAUCCACCUGUAACAGGGGGAUAACCCGGAGAAAUCCGGACUAAUACCCCAUGAUAUGGGCUCUCCGCAUGGAGGGUCCAUUAAAGAGAGCAAUCUUGGUUACAGACGAGCAUGCGCUCCAUUAG